CCUACGGGAGGCAGCAGUGGGGAAUACUGGACAAUGGGCGAAAGCCUGAUCCAGCAAUGCCGCGUGUGUGAAGAAGGCCUUAGGGUUGUAAAGCACUUUCAGUGGGGAGGAAGUUGAGUGUGCUAAUAUCAUAUUCAAUUGACGUUACCCACAGAAGAAGCACCGGCUAACUCUGUGCCAGCAGCCGCGGUAAUACAGAGGGUGCAAGCGUUAAUCGGAAUUACUGGGCGUAAAGGGUGUGUAGGUGGUUGUGUAAGUUAGAUGUGAAAUCCCCGGGCUUAACCUGGGAACUGCGUUUAAAACUGCGUAGCUAGAGUAUUGCAGAGGGUAGUGGAAUUUCCAGUGUAGCGGUGAAAUGCGUAGAUAUUGGAAGGAACACCAGUGGCGAAGGCGACUACCUGGGCAAAUACUGACACUGAGACACGAAAGCGUGGGGAGCAAACAGGAUUAGAUACCCUGGUAGUCCAUGCUGUAAACUAUGAGAACUUGCUGUUGGAUGNAUAAGANAUUAGUAGAGAGACUACGACGUUAGUUACUCCGCCGUCGGGAGGUACGGCCGGCGACGGACGUAAACGUACGAAAGGAAGUUAGUACGGACGUAGAGACGUUGCCGACGGACGACGACGAGGGAGGAGG
rnacentral:rRNA from 1 species